AUUGAACGCUGGCGGCAGGCCUAACACAUGCAAGUCGAACGGUAACAGGAAGAAGCUUGCUUCUUUGCUGACGAGUGGCGGACGGGUGAGUAAUGUCUGGGAAACUGCCUGAUGGAGGGGGAUAACUACUGGAAACGGUAGCUAAUACCGCAUAACGUCGCAAGACCAAAGAGGGGGACCUUCGGGCCUCUUGCCAUCGGAUGUGCCCAGAUGGGAUUAGCUAGUAGGUGGGGUAACGGCUCACCUAGGCGACGAUCCCUAGCUGGUCUGAGAGGAUGACAACCCAACCGGGAACUGGGACACGGCCCAGACCCCUAGGGGGGGCAGCGGUGGGGAAUUUUGCAAAAGGGGCGCAAGCCUGAUGCAGCAAUGCCGGGGUUAUGAAGAAGGCCUUCGGGUUGUAAAGUAUUUUAAGGGGGGAGGAAGGGAGUAAAGUUAAUCCCUUUGCUCAUUGACGUUACCCGAAAAAGAAGCACCGGCUACCUCCGU
rnacentral:rRNA from 1 species